rnacentral:rRNA from 1 species
UCCCUAGCUGGUCUGAGAGGAUGAUCAGCCACACUGGAACUGAGACACGGUCCAGACUCCUACGGGAGGCAGCAGUGGGGAAUAUUGCACAAUGGGCGCAAGCCUGAUGCAGCCAUGCCGCGUGUGUGAAGAAGGCCUUCGGGUUGUAAAGCACUUUCAGCAGUGAGGAAGGUAGUGUAGUUAAUAGCUGCAUUAUUUGACGUUAGCUGCAGAAGAAGCACCGGCUAACUCCGUGCCAGCAGCCGCGGUAAUAC